rnacentral:rRNA from 1 species
GAUGAACGCUGGCGGCGUGCCUAAUACAUGCAAGUCGAGCGAACAGACGAGGAGCUUGCUCCUCUGACGUUAGCGGCGGACGGGUGAGUAACACGUGGAUAACCUACCUAUAAUACUGGGAUAACUUCGGGAAACCGGAGCUAAUACCGGAUAAUAUAUUGAACCGCAUGGUUCAAUAGUGAAAGACGGUUUUGCUGUCACUUAUAGAUGAAUCCGCGCCGCAUUAGCUAGUUGGUAAGGUAACGGCUUACCAAGGCAACGAUGCGUAGCCGACCUGAGAGGGUGAUCGGCCACACUGGAACUGAGACACGGUCCAGACUCCUACGGGAGGCAGCAGUAGGGAAUCUUCCGCAAUGGGCGAAAGCCUGACGGAGCAACGCCGCGUGAGUGAUGAAGGUCUUCGGAUCGUAAAACUCUGUUAUUAGGGAAGAACAAAUGUGUAAGUAACUAUGCACGUCUUGACGGUACCUAAUCAGAAAGCCACGGCUAACUACGUG